rnacentral:rRNA from 1 species
GACGGGGGGGGCAAGUGUUCUUCGGAAUGACUGGGCGUAAAGGGCCCGUAGGCGGUGAAUCGGGUUGAAAGUGAAAGUCGCCAAAAAGUGGCGGAAUGCUCUCGAAACCAAUUCACUUGAGUGAGACAGAGGAGAGUGGAAUUUCGUGUGUAGGGGUGAAAUCCGUAGAUCUACGAAGGAAUGCCAAAAGCGAAGGCAGCUCUCUGGGUCCCUACCGACGCUGGGGUGCGAAAGCAUGGGGAGCGAACAGG